ACUAACCCAAACAAGAAACUCCAAAAUGAAUAGAAAGCACCAACAUCAUUCGAAUAAUAUUCUUGGCAAAAAUUGCACCUCACUUUUUUAGAACCGCAAUUUCUAGCUCUUUUAUUUUGGAACGUUACAAUAAUUAGUAGUAAGAUUUGGAGGAAGAGGCAUUGAAACCCAUACCGUCAGAUUACUAGUACUUGGGUGGAUAUGUCCAACUCAACCUAAUUCCAUCAAAGUCCCUUCUUGAG
rnacentral:lncRNA from 1 species